CCGAAAGGGGAGUGAAUUGGAGCUUUUCCGCUUUACGAUGAGACUGCGGCGGAUCAGGCAGAUGGCGGGGUAACGGCCCACCAUACCUAUAACCCGUAGGGGAUGUGGGAGCAUAAGCCCCGAGAAGGGCACUGAGACAAGGGCCCUAGCACUACGGUGUGCAGCAGGCGCGCAAACUCCACAAUGCGCGUAAGCGUGAUGGGGGGAAUCUGAGUGGUUCACUUUGUGAACCUUUUGCCAAGUAUAGCAAGCUUGGCGAAUAAGUGCUGGGCAAGACCGGUGGCAGCCGCCACGGUAAUACCGGCAGCACAAGUGGUGUCCACGAUUAUUGGGCUUAAAGCGCUCGUAGCCGGCUGAUGCCGUCUCGCGUGAAAUAUUGGCGCUCAACGUCAAUGCGUGCGCGAGAUACCCAUCGGCUAGGGAGCGGGUGAGGUCAGGAGUACUUAUGGGGGAGGGGUUAAAUCCUGUAAUCCUAUAAGGACUAACGGUGGCGAAGGCGCCUGACUAGAACGCAUCCGACGGUGAGGAGCGAAGGCUAGGAGAACGAAUCGGAUUAGAUACCCGAGUAGCCCUAGCAGUAAAUUAUGCAGACUCUGGUGUUGCAA
rnacentral:rRNA from 1 species